GAUGAACGCUGGCGGCGUGCCUAAUACAUGCAAGUCGAGCGAACGGAUGAGAAGCUUGCUUCUCUGAUGUUAGCGGCGGACGGGUGAGUAACACGUGGAUAACCUACCUAUAAGACUGGGAUAACUUCGGGAAACCGGAGCUAAUACCGGAUAAUAUUUUGAACCGCAUGGUUCAAAAGUGAAAGACGGUCUUGCUGUCACUUAUAGAUGGAUCCGCGCUGCAUUAGCUAGUUGGUAAGGUAACGGCUUACCAAGGCAACGAUGCAUAGCCGACCUGAGAGGGUGAUCGGCCACACUGGAACUGAGACACGGUCCAGACUCCUACGGGAGGCAGCAGUAGGGAAUCUUCCGCAAUGGGCGAAAGCCUGACGGAGCAACGCCGCGUGAGUGAUGAAGGUCUUCGGAUCGUAAAACUCUGUUAUUAGGGAAGAACAUAUGUGUAAGUAACUAUGCACGUCUUGACGGUACCUAAUCAGAAAGCCACGGCUAACUACGUG
rnacentral:rRNA from 1 species